GAUGAACGCUGGCGGCGUGCCUAAUACAUGCAAGUCGAGCGAAUGGAUUAAGAGCUUGCUCUUAUGAAGUUAGCGGCGGACGGGUGAGUAACACGUGGGUAACCUGCCCAUAAGACUGGGAUAACUCCGGGAAACCGGGGCUAAUACCGGAUAACAUUUUGAACCGCAUGGUUAGAAAUUGAAAGGCGGCUUCGGCUGUCACUUAUGGAUGGACCCGCGUAGCAUUAGCUAGUUGGUGAGGUAACGGCUCACCAAGGCAACGAUGCGUAGCCGACCUGAGAGGGUUAUCGGCCACACUUGCGCUGGGACAUGAGCCCGACUCCUACGUGAGGCAGCAGUAAGGAGUCUUCAGCAAUGGACGAAAGUCUGACUGAGCAACGCCGCGUGAGUGGUGAAGGCGUUCGGGUCGUAAAACUCUGUUGUUAGGGAAGAACAAGUGCUAGUUGAAUAAGCUGGCACCUUGACGGUACCUAACCAGAAAGCGACGGCUAACUACGUGCCAGCCGCCGCAGUAA
rnacentral:rRNA from 1 species